UGCCCUCAUAAAAGAGAUCCUGGAGAGAUCCCUCUCUCGCCCUCUUUCCACCAAGUGAGGAUAUAAGAAGUCAGCCAUCUGGAAACUAGGGAGAGAACCCUCAUGGAACCUGACCAUGCCUGUACCUUAGACUGACCUUAGACUUCCAGCCCCCAGAAUUGGAGUUUUUCAAAGCAUUCGUUGGCCUAUCUAGCAGGGACUGAGUGAGAUGGUACAUUGUAUAUUUAUCAAAAGAUGCUUCCAGUUUCACCUUGGCCUGGGCAACUGCAGACAGUCUUCUUGGAUGAUGCUUGUGACUCUUCCCGCAACACCUGAGUGGCCCCUCAUGGUUGGGUACAUGGGUCCCAAAGCUGAGCCUGAAGUCGAUGCUGGGAACUGAGUCACCAAGGGCAUGGAUGCUUCCAUCAAGGCAGACAAGAUUUAAAAACCUAGUUUCAGUGGCACUAAUGAGACCAAUAGCAAACCCAACCUGGGACGUCUUAGGAGACUGGUCACAAUUUCCAUUUCUCUCUCUGCUCGGCGUUUUUGCACAAUCAUGAAGAGUUUGGAGAGCAGGAGGAGGCCUCAAAAAGGACAUCCUGAGCUUCUUGAUAGUGUGUCCGUUGAAGGCCUCAUCACUUAAUUAUAAAGAAAAGUUUUGUUAUUAAUUUGUCUCCUAAGAUUAAAUGGAUCAUAUUUAUCAUUAGGUGCUUUUUAAAAAAUAAAAUUUACUCCUAUUUAU
rnacentral:lncRNA from 1 species